rnacentral:rRNA from 1 species
CCUACGGGUGGCAGCAGUGGGGAAUAUUGCGCAAUGGGCGAAAGCCUGACGCAGCGACGCCGCGUGAGGGAUGAAGGUCUUCGGAUCGUAAACCUCUGUCAGCAGGGAAGAACGGUCACUGUGCUAAUCAGCAGUGAAUUGACGGUACCUGCAAAGGAAGCACCGGCUAACUCCGUGCCAGCAGCCGCGGUAAUACGGAGGGUGCGAGCGUUAAUCGGAAUUACUGGGCGUAAAGGGAUCGUAGGCGGUAUGUCAAGUCAAGGGUGAAAUCCCCGGGCUCAACGUGGGAACUGCCUUUGAAACUGGCAAACUGGAGUGUGUGAGAGGAUAGUGGAAUUCCAGGUGUAGGAGUGAAAUGCGUAGAUAUCUGGAGGAACAUCAGUGGCGAAGGCGACUAUCUGGCACAUAACUGACGCUGAGGAGCGAAAGCGUGGGUAGCAAACAGGAUUAGAUACCCCAGUAGUC